rnacentral:rRNA from 1 species
AUUGAACGCUGGCGGCAGGCCUAACACAUGCAAGUCGAACGGUAACAGGAAGAAGCUUGCUUCUUUGCUGAGGAGUGGCGGGCGGGUGAGUAAUGUCUGGGAAACUGCCCGAUGGAGGGGGAUAACUACUGGAAACGGUAGCUAAUACCGCAUAACGUCGCAAGACCAAAGAGGGGGACCUUCGGGCCCCUUGCCAUCGGAUGUGCCCAGAUGGGAUUAGCUAGUUGGUGGGGUAACGGCUCACCUAGGCGACGAUCCCUAGCUGGUCUGAGAGGAUGACCAGCCACACUGGAACUGAGACACGGUCCAGACUCCUACGGGAGGCAGCAGUGGGGAAUAUUGCACAAUGGGCGCAAGCCUGAUGCAGCCAUGCCGCGUGUAUGAAGAAGGCCUUCGGGUUGUAAAGUACUUUCGGUGGGAAGGAAGAGAGUCAAGUUAAUACCUUUGCUCAUUGACGUUACCCGAAGAAGAAGCACCGGCUAACUCCGUG